rnacentral:rRNA from 1 species
UUUCGCAAUGCCCGAAAGGGUGACGAAGCGACGCCGCGUGGGUGAGGAAGGCCUUCGGGUUGUAAAGCCCUGUCAGGAGUUAAGAAAUGUAAGUGCGCUAAUAUCGCAUUUAUUUGACGAAGGCUCCAAAGGAAGUCACGGCUAACUCUGUGCCAGCAGCCGCGGUAAUACAGAGGUGGCAAGCGUUGUUCGGAAUUACUGGGCGUAAAGGGCACGUAGGCGGGUCCGUAUGUCAGGGGUGAAAGCCCUCGGCCCAACCGAGGAACGGCCUCUGAAACUGCGGGUCUUGAGCGAAGCAGAGGAGAGUGGAACUCUCGGUGGAGCGGUGAAAUGCGUUGAUAUCGAGAGGAACACCGGUGGCGAAGGCGACUCUCUAUGCUUCUGCUGACGCUGAGGUGCGAAAGCCAGGGGAGCGAACGGGAUUAGACACCCCGGUAGUCCUGGCCCUAAACGGUGGGCACUAAGUAGAGGGGUUUU